rnacentral:rRNA from 1 species
GAUGAACGCUGGCGGCGUGCCUAAUACAUGCAAGUCGGGCGAACGGACGAGAAGCUUGCUUCUCUGAUGUUAGCGGCGGACGGGUGAGUAACACGUGGAUAACCUACCUAUAAGACUGGGAUAACUUCGGGAAACCGGAGCUAAUACCGGAUAAUAUUUUGAACCGCAUGGUUCAAAAGUGAAAGACGGUCUUGCUGUCACUUAUAGAUGGAUCCGCGCUGCAUUAGCUAGUUGGUAAGGUAACGGCUUACCAAGGCAACGAUGCAUAGCCGACCUGAGAGGGUGAUCGGCCACACUGGAACUGAGACACGGUCCAGACUCCUACGGGAGGCAGCAGUAGGGAAUCUUCCGCAACGGGCGAAAGCCUGACGGAGCAACGCCGCGUGAGUGAUGAAGGUCUUCGGAUCGUAAAACUCUGUUAUUAGGGAAGAACAUAUGUGUAAGUAACUGUGCACAUCUUGACGGUACCUAAUCAGAAAGCCACGGCUAACUACGUG